UACGUAGGGUGCGAGCGUUGUCCGGAAUUAUUGGGCGUAAAGAGCUUGUAGGUGGUUUGUCGCGUCUGCUGUGAAAAUCCGAGGCUCAACCUCGGACUUGCAGUGGGUACGGGCAGACUAGAGUGUGGUAGGGGGAGACUGGAAUUCCUGGUGUAGCGGUGGAAUGCGCAGAUAUCAGGAGGAACACCGAUGGCGAAGGCAGGUCUCUGGGCCAUUACUGACACUGGAGAAGCGGAAAGCAUGGGGAGCGAACAGG
rnacentral:rRNA from 1 species